GAAGGUGGCCUGUGAGGGUUGCUGGAGGUAUCAGAAGUGCGAAUGCUGACAUAAGUAACGAUAAAGCGGGUGAAAAGCCCGCUCGCCGGAAGACCAAGGGUUCCUGUCCAACGUUAAUCGGGGCAGGGUGAGUCGACCCCUAAGGCGAGGCCGAAAGGCGUAGUCGAUGGGAAACGGGUUAAUAUUCCCGUACUUGGUGUUACUGCGAAGGGGGGACGGAGAAGGCUAUGUUGGCCGGGCGACGGUUGUCCCGGUUUAAGCGUGUAGGCUGGUUUUCCAGGCAAAUCCGGAAAAUCAAGGCUGAGGCGUGAUGACGAGGCACUACGGUGCUGAAGCAACAAAUGCCCUGCUUCCAGGAAAAGCCUCUAAGCAUCAGGUAACAUCAAAUCGUACCCCAAACCGACACAGGUGGUCAGGUAGAGAAUACCAAGGCGCUUGAGAGAACUCGGGUGAAGGAACUAGGCAAAAUGGUGCCGUAACUUCGGGAGAAGGCACGCUGACACGUAGGUGAAGUGAUUUACUCAUGGAGCUGAAGUCAGUCGAAGAUACCAGCUGGCUGCAACUGUUUAUUAAAAACACAGCACUGUGCAAACACGAAAGUGGACGUAUACGGUGUGACGCCUGCCCGGUGCCGGAAGGUUAAUUGAUGGGGUCAGCGCAAGCGAAGCUCCUGAUCGAAGCCCCGGUAAACGGCGGCCGUAACUAUAACGGUCCUAAGGUAGCGAAAUUCCUUGUCGGGUAAGUUCCGACCUGCACGAAUGGCGUAAUGAUGGCCAGGCUGUCUCCACCCGAGACUCAGUGAAAUUGAACUCGCUGUGAAGAUGCAGUGUACCCGCGGCAAGACGGAAAGACCCCGUGAACCUUUACUAUAGCUUGACACUGAACAUUGAGCCUUGAUGUGUAGGAUAGGUGGGAGGCUUUGAAGUGUGGACGCCAGUCUGCAUGGAGCCGACCUUGAAAUACCACCCUUUAAUGUUUGAUGUUCUAACGUGGACCCGUUACCCGGGUUGCGGACAGUGUCUGGUGGGUAGUUUGACUGGGGCGGUCUCCUCCUAAAGAGUAACGGAGGAGCACGAAGGUUGGCUAAUCCUGGUCGGACAUCAGGAGGUUAGUGCAAUGGCAUAAGCCAGCUUGACUGCGAGCGUGACGGCGCGAGCAGGUGCGAAAGCAGGUCAUAGUGAUCCGGUGGUUCUGAAUGGAAGGGCCAUCGCUCAACGGAUAAAAGGUACUCCGGGGAUAACAGGCUGAUACCGCCCAAGAGUUCAUAUCGACGGCGGUGUUUGGCACCUCGAUGUCGGCUCAUCACAUCCUGGGGCUGAAGUAGGUCCCAAGGGUAUGGCUGUUCGCCAUUUAAAGUGGUACGCGAGCUGGGUUUAGAACGUCGUGAGACAGUUCGGUCCCUAUCUGCCGUGGGCGCUGGAGAACUGAGGGGGGCUGCUCCUAGUACGAGAGGACCGGAGUGGACGCAUCACUGGUGUUCGGGUUGUCAUGCCAAUGGCACUGCCCGGUAGCUAAAUGCGGAAGAGAUAAGUGCUGAAAGCAUCUAAGCACGAAACUUGCCCCGAGAUGAGUUCUCCCUGAGACUU
rnacentral:rRNA from 1 species